AUCUCACUCUCUCCGUCCAAAAAUACUUGUCAUCAAAAUGGACAAAAAGAGUUAUAUCUCGAACUAAAAUACGUCUAGAUACAUCCCCUUUUAUCCAUUUUGAUGACAAGUAUUUCCGGACGGAGGGAGUAUGUG
rfam:Triticum aestivum genome assembly, contig: Triticum_aestivum_CS42_TGACv1_scaffold_129608_2BL